UUUAUGUCAAUCAAAAAGAUGCUCGGGAAUGUUAUGCAGCAGGCUUAAAGAUGAAUUUAAGAGCAAACCAUGAUACUGAAAGAAUGGUGGCAAUGGCCGAUUUGGACCCAAGAAUAAAUGACGAAAGGAUAGAACCAAAAGAAGAGACCACAGCUGUGGUAUUGGGUCAAGACGAGAAGCAAUGCACUUAUGUAAGUGGAAGUUUG
rnacentral:lncRNA from 1 species